AUGCCGCAGGUUUACGAUUCUGUUACCGUGGCCCGAGCUCACGGAGACUCUGCCGAUGAUUCAAUAUCCCAGUAUCCACCUGAGAUGACUGUUGAAGAAGGUCGAAAUGUCACACUGAACUGCAGUUACCCCGCAGCAUACGUUGAUCAAACUGCCUUCUGGUACAUCCAGUCUCCCGGAGAAGCUCCCAGAUACAUUCUGAAGAUAUUAAGCACAGGGUUCAACGACCGAUCUCCAGAGUUCCCAGACAGGUUUUCUGCUGUUUUUGAAAAAACGAGCCAGACUAUUCCGUUAACUAUCUCCGGGGUCCUUCUCUCCGACUCUGCCGUGUAUGUCUGUGCCAUGAGACCCACACUGCGGAAGAGAAACAACAGACCCGAACAAAAACUGACCCCGAUGGAGCUUUAUCUGGUGCUCACCAGAGGGCGCACUUACCGCGGUAUGCAGAAGUGA